rnacentral:lncRNA from 1 species
CUAAAGAACAGAAAAGGUUGGAAAGAAAAAUAAAGUUGGAAUCUAGCUAAUGCCUGCCAGAUUUAGGCCUGGCUUCCACCCUACCAAAAAUAAAAAAAGUAAAGAAAACCAAUUUUGUAACGAGGUAACAGCAGAAUGGUAAAGCAUAAAGCCACUACAAAUUACUGUAGAGUCACCUAAUUGGUGGUGCAGCAUUGGAACCUGUUCAAUGGAUUUAUGAACUGAUAAGAAUCCAUUAAUUCCACAACUGAUCAGAUCACAUCUUCACAAAAUCAAACAAAAUGGAAGAUGAAGAACAUAUGAUGACUUGCAAAUGAGCCAUGAACUUAUUUAUGCACCUGGACUUUUAAUUCUUCCGUCAAUGGUUUCAACAACAAACAUCUUACAAGAGCAUGGGAUAAAGCAUAAAUCACUUGGUAGAACUCUUAUUUACUUCAGAAAGUGCCGAGCAAAACCAACAGCCAAACACAGAAAGAAUACGACAGCAAUAUGGAUGCUAGAUCUCGCACCAAGGAAUUAACAAAGUUAAAAUCAGUAAUCACAGCUCUUUCAUUGCCCGCAUUGCAUGGGAUGCCACAAAACAUCAAGUUUAACAAAACUUCCAGAUUCUCACUAAUAAUUAUUGCAAAUCCAAUCAUUUCCACUGCUGAACC